GGGUGUUUACAGCACCAAAACCCCAAAUGUCCCAAUUCCCCAAAUCCUGCUGGGCCUGGGCGCCUCCAGCUUCGAGUUCAGGCUGGAUCCCAGUGCUGACCCCGAACUGGCUCUGGUAGAGACAUCGAAAUUCCCAGGAAUUGGGGAAUUUCCAAUGUUGUGAUCCCACAAACCCCGAAUCUCCUGACUCCCACAACACCAACCCCAAAGUUCUCAGGAAUUGGGCAAUUCCCAAUGUCAGAUUUCCCACAAAACCCCGAAUCUCCACAGCACCGAACCCCAGGGCUCCCAUUUCUUGCACCGCCAGCUGUGUUUGGGGUGUUCUGUCCCAUUUCCCCUAUCCCAGUCCCUGUUUUUGGGGUGUUUUGGGUGUUCUGUCCCGUUUCCCCAUCCCAGUCCCUGUUUUUGGGGUGUUGUGUCCCGUUUCCCCAUCCCAGUCCCUGUGUUUGGGGUGUUUUGGGGUGUUUUUGGGG
rnacentral:lncRNA from 1 species